rnacentral:rRNA from 1 species
UACGGAGGGUGCAAGCGUUACCCGGAUUCACUGGGUUUAAAGGGUGCGUAGGCGGGUUGGUAAGUCAGUGGUGAAAUCUUCAAGCUUAACUUGGAAACUGCCGUUGAUACUAUCAAUCUUGAAUAUUGUGGAGGUAAGCGGAAUAUGUCAUGUAGCGGUGAAAUGCUUAGAUAUGACAUAGAACACCGAUAGCGAAGGCAGCUUGCUACACAGUAAUUGACGCUGAGGCACGAAAGCGUGGGGAUCAAACAGG